GCUUGGAGCAACUUCAAUUGCUCGACCGCGUGGAAGAUUACCUGAUACAGAAACGGGUUGUAUAGCUUAAAGCUUCUUCAUCAAGAAUCCGAUACGCAUUUUGAAAUAUCUUAUUAAGGCACGUAGGUGUAAAGGUCGCUACAAGCAAAAUGGAGAAGUCGGCUACGUGUGACAACAAAUUAACGACGUAACGCGUACGUGUGAAAUAUUUUCGGGCUAUUACACGAAAUGAGAAGCAUCGUGAUUACGCGCCUGCUUAAUGUUCCGAGUCUCUCAUUAAAUUAAGUAGAGUGACUCACCUGCAUGGCGGCGGGGAGAUACGAAUUCGAGUAAAUUGGUGUUGAAAAGGCCGGCGGCUUCCUAACGAUUCCGGCGAUGGCCUGGAGCAGUGAGGAAUUUUAAUUAACAUUUCCGUCAAAGCAUGCAAAUAUAUCUACGUAGCUCUCGGAGCCGUUAGACGCCGUUAUGGCUGUAGCAUGUAGUGUUCAUGUGGAAAUAUUUCAUAUCGAAAGUAGAUCAAGGUAGAGUAUUAAUAAUAUGAUACGUGAAACUUAAGUGAGAGCAAAAUUUUCGAAAGAUGCAAAAUUAAUAUUACAAAUUGCAGUGAAGAGAAAAUGGAAUCGUAAAUACAUUUUUCAGACAAUAUAUUGAUCUUUGCUUAAAACAUUUGCUCAAUUCCGAUUCAAAUAAUGUUUUUAGUUUAUUUACGUGAUAUGAUAAGCCACAGAAAUAGCGAUUUUCAUGUAAUCUAAUAUGCAAUGACUGAAUAAUAAAAGAGUUCACUGAUAAUAUAUUAAACAU